rnacentral:rRNA from 1 species
UACGUAGGGUCCGAGCGUUGUCCGGAAUUACUGGGCGUAAAGAGCUCGUAGGUGGUUUGUCGCGUUGUUCGUGAAAACUCACAGCUCAACUGUGGGCGUGCGGGCGAUACGGGCAGACUAGAGUACUGCAGGGGAGACUGGAAUUCCUGGUGUAGCGGUGGAAUGCGCAGAUAUCAGGAGGAACACCGGUGGCGAAGGCGGGUCUCUGGGCAGUAACUGACGCUGAGGCGCGAAAGCGUGGGGAGCAAACAGG